CCACUCUCGGCAACGGAUAUCUCGGCUCUCGCAUCGAUGAAGAACGUAGCGAAAUGCGAUACUUGGUGUGAAUUGCAGAAUCCCGUGAACCAUCGAGUCUUUGAACGCAAGUUGCGCCCGAAGCCGUCAGGCCGAGGGCACGCCUGCCUGGGCGUCACG
rnacentral:rRNA from 1 species